UAGAUGUUUUAAUCCUCGUAGUCGUGCGGUUUCAUUGGGUAGGAACUAAUCUGACAUUGAUAGUGUUUGGUCAGACGGUGAGAAGUGUAGCACAGGUGGUCCCAUCUUGGCUACAUUGUAAUCAGAGCGGAGAGGAAAGCAAACCCGUCCAUAUUACAGCUGCUGUGUCAGCGGUUUCCAUGGUGAUGGACCCUCCCGGUGGGCGAGACGAGCGGCGGCGUCAGGCGGAGCGUCUUCGAAGGGAGGAGGCGUACUAUCACUUCAUCAACGAUCUCAGCGAGGAAGAGUACCGCCUCAUGAGAGACAGCAACCUGCUGGGCACACCUGGUGAAGUGACAGCGGAGGAGCUACGGCAGCGCCUGGACGGGGCAAAGGAGCGUGUGUCAUCUCAGCCCCGACCUGAACCACGCCCACAAAAUACGGAGGCCGGAGAAGAGGAGGGGAGCAGCGGUACUGCUGAGCCGGGAGCAGAGACAUCUAAUGGCGACUCGCUGCUGGAGUGGCUGAACACGUUCCGACGAACCGGGAACGCCACACGGAGCGGCCAGAGCGGCAACCAGACGUGGCGCGCGGUCAGCCGCACCAACCCCAACAGUGGAGAGUUCCGCUUCAGCCUGGAGAUCAACAUCAACCAUGAGCAGCCGGAACCAGGGGAGCACAGUGACACCCCCGACCCCUCAGAGUUGUCCCCUGUCCCCCCUCCAUCCACAGCGUCCAUACGCACUUCCCCUUCCACUCGCCCCUCACCCUACACCCCUGCCCGGCCCUCCCCCUAUCCCUCACCUCGAGCAACCCUGGGCAGGAGGGCUCAAACCCGCCGUACACGCAGUACUACCACCACCCCUCCUCUGACUCCUGCACCCUUCACCUCACCCCUGUCCCCCCCUACUGCUCUAAGGAGUACAACAGCCCUCCACCUCCCCCCAUUCCCCAUCACCCCCCCUACCCUUCAGGAUCAAAGCAGCCCUCCACAGCUCCAGUCCCCAAGCGGAGCUUUCCUCCCAAGAGGAGAGGCAGGAGGAGGGGGUUGCUACCCUGGACUGCCCCCGUGUAGCGCCCCAGUCUGGCCCCCAGGGGGCGUCUGUGGGGCAUGAGCCACACAGCAGCAGGACUCGAUCCCGCGGCCGGACCCGCAGGGCUGUGGCAGGAGGUGGGACUUCCUCCCGGUCAUCUAGGAGACGUAGCCGCUCCCCUCUUCAGAGAAACCCCGCCCCUAACUCAGCUACCUUAUCCCCUAAUGGUGGGAGUGGAAAUGGUGGCUCUAAUAAUAUCCACACUGCCGAGCCCAGCAACGGAACUGCUUCUGUCUCCAUGGAGACCGGUGAAGCCGUGUCAGAGCCGGCUGUAGUAUCAGAGCCUGGUCCUGAGGCAGAGGAGCAGGAGGGAGAGGCACACACGGCCGGGCCGGGGGGCGCCGGAGGGGUACGCCGCCAUCCCACCAUCAUGCUGGACCUGCAGGUGCGUCGCAUCCGACCGGGAGAGAACCGGGACCGAGACAGCAUCGCCAGCCGUACCCGCUCCCGGGCCCGCGCUGCUGAGAAUACCGUCACCUUCGAGAGUGACAGUGGAGGCUUCCGGCGCACCAUCUCCCGCUCGGAGCGGGCCGGGAUCCGGACCUACGUCAGCACCAUCCGGAUCCCUCUGAGGAGGAUCAGUGAGACGGGCCUGGGGGAGCCCAGCUCCACCGCCCUGCGCUCCAUCCUCAGACAGAUCAUGACCGGCUUCGGAGAGCUCAGCUCCCUCAUGGAGACGGAGGCUGACUCUGAGACCACCGGGGAACGCCAGCAGCGAGAGUGGAACUGGGGUGGAAGGUCAGGCAGGAGGGUGGAGAUGGAGGCCGAGGGAGUGGCAGGGGCCGAGGAAGAAGGAGGCCAGGAGAGAUUAGUCGGGAGUGACGGCGGUGCCGGUGGGGUCCCUACCCCCAAUGAGGGUCGGCCGACGAGCAGGGACACAAACAACCUAGUGGAAAACGGCACACUGCCCAUCCUGCGUCUGGCCCACUUCUUUCUGCUCAACGAUGAGGAGGACGAGGAGCACCCUCGUGGCCUGACCAAAGAGCAGAUCGAUAAUCUGGCCACGCGCACCUACGGCCAGGCUAGCCUGGAGGGAGAGGCGGGACGCGCCUGCAGCGUCUGCAUUAAUGAGUAUGCCCAGGGGAAUAAGCUGCGCCGCCUGCCCUGUGCCCACGAGUUCCACAUCCACUGCAUUGACCGCUGGCUCUCUGAAAACAACACCUGCCCCAUCUGCAGGCAGCCCAUCCUCCCUGUGCACCAGGACUGACCCUGCCCUGACCUUUGAUCCCUAGAACCCCCUGACCCUAGACCGCCACCAGCUACACCUUGCCACCUGUUGGCUGAACUGAGCAUGCCCGAGCGGAGUGGACGGUGCAUGUACAUAACGCUUUAAUGUUUUCAUUUAUCAUUGCGCUAUCCAUUGAAGGGAGGGGGGGGACUAUAAAUGCAGAGAAUUAACAAAGCUUUAUUUUUUUAGAAGUAUUUUAUUUUCAGCACUUUUUUCUUUCUUCCCCUCCUUGUUUCUGUUUGGCCACUCUGUCAUGAUGUCACUGAGGUCCACAUGUAAAGAUAGGACUUAUGCUAAUGAGCUACUAUAGCCAGCUGCUGCUCCUCUACCUGAUGCGCUGUGACAUCACCCUGUCACAACCAGACUACAGUAAUCAGUCAGACGCAUCUCUGGACUUGAUUUGGUUGAGAACGUGUAAAUAUGUCACCGCCUCCUGUGUUUUGGGGUUCAGAAGAGAAAGUCCUCAGUCACAUUGCAUUUUUAAUCAGAAGCAGGAAACAGCCAUUUUAAGUUAAAAGCUAAUAUUGGAAUCUUCCAUUUUAAAGCCCCGACAUUCCUUUCAAAGUGUCCUCUAUGAUUUGACAUUGUGUGGACAGAGGCUGUCGUGUAUCCUGACUUUUGAAUGAGUUUUCACUUGGUCAGUGGUCCCAAGGAUCCUGUUGUUUGCCCACCUGUUCAGUAUAUUUCAACCGAGCCAUCGAACCCCACAGAUCCACAGUGGAUGUUCAACAUUUCAUUCCGUUACAGCCUUUGACAGUAAAAUAUUAGUACCCCAAGUCAGAAAGAAACAUCUAAAGAAAUAGAUUCAGGAAAGUGUGUGAUUUAGCAGCAAGCACUUGUAGUAGAACUUGUCUAUUACAGAGACAGGCCAAUAAUGUUGAUGCUAGACAAGGAGUUGUGCAAUAUCAUGGAGGGAAGGAAGGACUGUUUUUCAUAGUUACAUUUUAAAUCAUUAUAGUGCUGUUCUUUCUCCCUUGUUUACUCCUUGGCAUCAAUGAUUAGUUCCUCUGUUGGGAAAUAGAGUAUCUGCUCAGUAGUAUUCUGUCCCUCUACCCUCGGCCUCCUAGAGAUACCCCAGUAAUCAAAAAGUAGUUCAUCACCUCCCACUCCUUUAACGUUUGUGUUUUAAAGUCCCAGUUCUGGUAGAACCUGCCUGUCAUGGCCGGAUUUCCAUGUUCACAAACCUGAAAGGAAUGAAUGGGUGAAAGCAAAAUGGUUCCGGCACCACUCAACCAUUUUCUAUAUCUAUCCAAUCCUUUCAGAUCAGUGAACAACAGAUUUCUUCCUCCAUUAGCCUGGCCUAGAUCUCAAUGGGCUUUUCCUGCAUGCAGUAUCACCAUGUUACCACCAGGGGCAGUAUUCACCACAGUACAACAUGGUGAGAACUGGAGGCCAGUGUUAUCGGUGUCCAGGUAGGGCAGGGGUUUUCUGUCAUUUGAAUCCUGACCUUUGUCAUGCAGACCCAUGAGACAGGUGUGUGAUAAUUGGGUAAUAUUGCUCUUUGUAUACUGCAGAAUCUGAGCGUAGGUUCAUUGUGGAGCUGUGAGUGUGAUGAAGAAGUGUGUGUGUGGUAGAGCUGAAGGAAGUGACAAAACAGAAUGUCAUAUGAUUUAGCAGCAUUAAUCAGUCACCUGAAUGUUAAUCUAAGACCGAGUGGGAGGGUUUGUGGCCAUCGAAUUCAGAAUUUAGUAUGUAUUCUGUUCCUAUUUAAUGAGAUCAAAAACAUCCUUUGAGAUAUUGAAUACUUAUUGUUAUGUGAUGAGAUUAAAACAAACUGUUAAGAUUAAUGUGUUCUGUUACUGUGUAAUAUAAAUAUACAAGGGUUUUCUUCUCUGCUCCUUAACAAUGGAAUUAAAUACAGCUUUGUUAUGCCUGGA